rnacentral:rRNA from 1 species
GACGAACGCUGGCGGCGUGCUUAACACAUGCAAGUCGAACGGAAAGGCCCCUUUGGGGGUCCUCGAGUGGCGCACGGGUGAGUAACACGUGAGUAACCUGCCCUUGACUUCGGGAUAACUUCAGGAAACUGGGGCUAAUACCGGAUAGGAAUCCUUGCUGCAUGGUGGGGGUUGGAAAGCUUCGGCGGUUUUGGAUGGACUCGCGGCUUAUCAGCUUGUUGGUGGGGUAGUGGCUUACCAAGGCUUUGACGGGUAGCCGGCCUGAGAGGGCGACCGGCCACAUUGGGACUGAGAUACGGCCCAGACUCCUACGGGAGGCAGCAGUGGGGAAUAUUGCACAAUGGGCGGAAGCCUGAUGCAGCAACGCCGCGUGCGGGAUAACGGCCUUCGGGUUGUAAACCGCUUUCAGCAGGGGCGAAGCUUGUGGUGACGGUACCUGCAGAAGAAGCACCGGCUAACUACGUG